GACGAACGCUGGCGGCGUGCUUAACACAUGCAAGUCGAACGGAAAGGCCCUGAUCUUGUGGGGUGCUCGAGUGGCGAACGGGUGAGUAACACGUGAGUAACCUGCCCUUGACUUUGGGAGAACUUCAGGAAACAGGGGCUAAUACCGGAGAGGAGCUCUUGCUGCAUGGGGGGGGUUGGAAAGAUUCGGCGGUUGGGGCUGGACUCGCUGCUUAUCAGCUUGUUGGUGGGGUAGUGGCGGACCAAGGCUUUGACGGGUAGCCGGCCUGAGAGGGUGGACGGCCACCUUGGGACUGCGGUACGGCCCAGACUCCUACGGUAGGCAGCAGUGGGGAAUAUUGCACAAUGGGCGGACGCCUGAUGCGGCAACGCCGCGUGCGUGAUGACGGCCUUCGGGUUGUAAACCGCUUUCGCCUGUGACGAAGCGUGAGUGACGGUAAUGGGUAAAGAAGCACCGGCUAACUACGUG
rnacentral:rRNA from 1 species